rnacentral:lncRNA from 1 species
CUUCUGUCUGCUUUUACAUACUCAAACCUCUGGCCAGCCUCUUGCUGCAGGGGUCUCAUCUCAGGUCUGCAUGUACCUGGAGGAACUGGAAAGAAAGAACAAUCAUUAAACACCAUAGCAGUUUGUGAUUUAAAAUGCCUAAGCCUUCACGGAGCUCAUUGUUGUAUGCUGUGGACUCGACCUUUGACUCAGCUACCUCAUGAGGUUCCUUCCUUCCGUCCUUCCUUUCUUCCUUCCCUCCUUCUUCCAUCCAUCCAUCUAUCCUUCUCUCCUUCCUUCCUUCCUUCUUUAAGGUUGGGGUUUCUUUGGUACCCCAAUCAACCCUGCUUCAUAGUUGAGAAUCUUUGUCAUGUGGCUUUUGUUUUUGAAACCAAAGAGAAGAGCAUACUUAUGUCAUUGAGCAAUUUAAUAUUUGCCGUUUGGCUUCCAUAAGGUUUUCUAGUGGGUCAAUCCCCACAUUCUGGCCAUGGGAGCUCCUUAGCUCGAAGUUUGUGGCAGCAGGCACCCCAAGAAGCUCUGCACAGUCUGGGGUCCAGUUCUUUAUGCCAAUUCACAUGUCUUCAGCAUGCAGAACCAUGCAAAUGAAAAAUACACUCACCCUCUCCCUAAAGACACUGCACCCAGGUCUCUCUGAACUGUAAGAAGACUCUGAGUAAGAAGCAGCAGUCUUCCUGUGUGUAUGGAGCCUUUUGGGGCCAGGGAAGUGAGGUUGAACUCUCCAUGUGUGCAGUCCCUGCAUAGGUAGUGAGAAAAGGAAAGAUGUCCAAUAACUCGGCAUCGUUAGCUAAACUGAAUUACCGUAAGCCAAGGAAUAGCAUAGGGAGUGAAGCUUGAAUGUGGUGCCCGUGUGAACAGCGACAUAUGUUUCCGUAGGUUCUCCACUGUCUUAGUUUUUGUUGCCAGUGAUGUUCUUUCUCCACAGCUGCCCCGGGAAUUCUGAAGUACUGGGCCUUUCUCAGAAGACUGUAAUGUACCUGAAGUUUCUGAAAUAUUACAAAGCUCAGGCUGGUGCUGCCAAAAAGAAAAGUCACGUAGAGUUUAUUUUUAAGAAUGCAAUGGUGAUUUGUAUACUUGUUUAUUUUUCAUUUUAAACGGAAUGCAUGUAUAAUCAUGUUGGAAUAUGUUAAGAACUAUGGAGCUUCUGUAGCAAGAGAAAGUAUCUUUGCCUUAACUCCACUGCUGUGGUUGUUCCUUCCACCUGACCAAGGCUCAAACAAUAAUCUCAAGAGCUCUGUCUGUUUCCAAAUAUUACCUGCUUCUCAUGACGAUACCCAAGAAGGAAGCCUGCACCUGGGAAAUGUGCAGCGUGAACUCUGCCCUCCAGUUAAGUUCUCCAGCUCCAGACAUGUCUCUUGGUGUGUGUUUUACCCACUGUUGUUAUUCUAUACGGUAGAAUUACCAAACGCUAUUCAGAUUUCUUAAUAAAGGGCAAGUUAACCAAGUCUG